UCCCUGGUGGUCCAGUGGUUAGGACUUGGCGCUUUGACUGCCAAGGGCUCGGGUUCAAUCCCUGGUCGGGGAA